AAUAUUGGACAAUGGGGGCAACCCUGAUCCAGCUAUGCCGCGUGUGUGAAGAAGGUCUUCGGAUUGUAAAGUACUUUAAGUUGGGAGGAAGGGUUUUAGGCUAAUACCCUGAAGUCUUGACGUUACCAACACAAUAAGCACCGGCUAACUCUGUCCCAGCAGUCGCGGUAAUACAGAGGGUGCAAGCGUUAAUCGGAAUUACUGGGCGUAAAGCGCGCGUAGGUGGUUCAGUUAGAUGGGUGUGAAAUCCCCGGGCUUAACCUGGGAACUGCUUUCAUAACUGCUGAGCUAGAGUACGGUAGAGGGUAGUGGGAUUUCCUGUGUAGCGGUGAAAUGCGUAGAUAUAGGAAGGAACACCAGUGGCGAAGGCGACUACCUGGACUGAUACUGACACUGAGGUGCGAAAGCGUGGGGAGCAAACA
rnacentral:rRNA from 1 species